rnacentral:rRNA from 1 species
ACUCAAAGGAAUAGACGGGGGCCCGCACAAGCGGUGGAGCAUGUGGUUUAAUUCGAUGCAACGCGAAGAACCUUACCUACCCUUGACAUCCUUGGAAUCCUGCAGAGAUGCGGGAGUGCCUUCGGGAACCAGGAGACAGGUGCUGCAUGGCUGUCGUCAGCUCGUGUCGUGAGAUGUUGGGUUAAGUCCCGUAACGAGCGCAACCCUUGUCCUUACUUGCCAGCGGGUAAUGCCGGGAACUUUAAGGAGACUGCCGGUGACAAACCGGAGGAAGGUGGGGAUGACGUCAAGUCAUCAUGGCCUUUAUGGGUAGGGCUACACACGUGCUACAAUGGGAAGUACAGAGGGUUGCCAACCCGCGAGGGGGAGCCAAUCUCAAAAAACUUUUCGUAGUCCGGAUUGGAGUCUGCAACUCGACUCCAUGAAGUUGGAAUCGCUAGUAAUCGCGAAUCAGAACGUCGCGGUGAAUACGUUCCCGGGCCUUGUACACACCGCCCGU